rnacentral:sRNA from 1 species
UGGCGGGGUGAAAGGUUGCGAAGAUGGCGACGGCCUUGAGCGAGGAGGAGCUGGACAAUGAAGACUAUUACUCGUUGCUGAACGUGCGCAGGGAGGCCUCUUCUGAAGAGCUGAAAGCUGCCUACCGGAGGCUCUGUAUGCUCUACCAUCCAGACAAGCACAGAGACCCAGAGCUCAAGUCACAGGCGGAACGACUGUUUAACCUUGUUCACCAGGCUUAUGAAGUGCUUAGUGACCCCCAAACCAGGGCCAUCUAUGAUAUAUAUGGGAAGAGAGGACUGGAAAUGGAAGGAUGGGAGGUUGUGGAAAGGAGGAGGACCCCUGCUGAAAUUCGAGAGGAGUUUGAGCGGCUGCAGAGAGAGAGAGAAGAGAGGAGAUUGCAGCAGCGAACCAAUCCCAAGACAUGCGGACCGGCUCUCCUGGUCAAAUGAUGUUUUCUAGCUCUGGACGUCUGUGGUGCUCUGCAGUUUGGUUCGGACUGUGACAUUCAUGCUUUGUGGGCUUCCUGGUGGAGUGUCCUACCUAAACCCAGUGAACCCUGAAGUCAAAUGACUUGUUCAAUUAAAGCGAGCUGGCUGUUG